UCUGGUCUGUCGCACUUAGCCAUCCCGGGAACACGCUGAACUGCAUACCAAUGUAGUGCCUGGUAUGCAUCUUCGAGCCCCAGUUCCUUCCAUGCCAGAGAAUUAAGCUGCAUUACCAACUCCCACCUGGGCUGUUCUCCCAUCAUAGGCAUCCAUAGGGCCACUCGGGCCUGUAGUCGCUGCUCCUCGCUGGGGAGACGCUCACCUCGCCAACGCUGGACACCCUCCAGGGCUUCGUCCCACAUCUCUUUCCUGGCGCCCUCUCUGCAGUCCAACCUGGUUGCCUCUGAUACUGGCUCACCCACUGAGGCCAAGAGGCUCUGUAACCUCCAGUCGAACUCAUCCUCCACUUUGAGCGCUGUCCAGGG